ensembl:lncRNA
AUGACUGAUUCCUUUUUCCCUAAACACCAUGUUCAGGAAAUGCCAUUUGAAAGUCCAUCAGGAAAAGUAGGAGAAGGAACCAUUCUGAGCAUCAAAUAUCAGCUGACUGGGCAAGAAAGAGAGUUUAUCUGGAGCCUUGUUGUAUGUCUCAGAAGUGCAAGCAGACAAUUCACACAGAAAGAGAGCAUAAGAAUUAGGGAAUUUAACAUCCAUCAUGUGGACUAGAGGAUACAAAGUUUGAAAUAAAAGAUGGUUGGAUAAAAUGAAUUUCCUAAGUCAUUAUUUAUGUAACUGAGUGGCUUUAUUAAAAACAAACAAAACAAACAAAAAAAACCCUCCACACUUUGGUCUCAGUUGUCUGUAUUUAGAGGAUGGUACUGUGUUCUGUACUGUGCUAGAUGGACACACCUUGUGUGAGCACAUGCACUGCACAAGGCUGUGUAGGGAUUCUGCUUUCCAGAGAGCUCACGCAGCCUAAAGCCUAUUUGGCAAACGAGCCUCCCUUUUUCAACCCACAUGCUAUAUGGUAACAAAGGAAAGAGAGUUCUUCCUUUGUCUGCUGCUUUGGAAUGAACAAAGGGUGAGGGCUAUCUAGAGGUGCUGGGCAGAUUCUAUUUCAUGCACGUUGUCCAAACUUCCACAAAAAAGAGCUCUUUUGGGUGCUGUGAGUUAGGCAAGGCAAUCAGAUGAAACUGAAGGAGCACAGUAGCCUUCAAUAUAAAGCAACAGAUCAGGCUCAAACCACUAGGCUAUGCUCAGAUCAGUAGUAUGCCUUCCUGCACCUACUCCCUUCUGUAACAGUCCUUAAACAGAAAGAACAAACAAACAAAAAACUAGGAAUGGAAGGAAUAAGAAAUGUGAGAAGUUUCUCUGCAUGAAGAAAAAUUGAAAAUCUCAGGUAAGAGAGAAAACAGGCUAUCUCCAUUGGUGAUAGAAUAAGGAACAGUGUGUAAUAUGUAGAAAAUAAUAGAUUAGAUGUUUUUAUUAACCAUCUCUCAGGGCAGCAGCUUACACUAUUAUUACUUCCCAAAUAGUUUCAGGCCUGCUUGUCUCCUGGGACUAUGUAGUAGGGGAUGUUAAAUGGGUGUAGUUACAAGCACUGUGUGCAAUGUGCAAUUCUGAAAUCUUUUUGUGCACUUUUAUUCUAUCCUGAAGAUACUGCUUGCUUCAAUCUUGCAACAGUGUACACUGAUGCUAAAAUUGCUUUGAAUGCAGAUGUAGCACAGGAAUGAUUUUGCAGAUCAACUUUCUUUAUAAUCUCAGGUUUAUGCUCCGGGGUUAUUGCGGGGUGACCUCAUUGCAGCCUUUCAAUACCUAAAGGAAGCCUACAAACAGGAGGGAAAUCAACUCUUUGAAAGGGUUGAUAACUGCAGGACAAGGGGAAAUGGUUUUAAGUUUAGGGAGGGAAGAUUUAGGUUGGAUGUCAGGGGAAAAUUCCUUACAGAGAGAGUGGUGAGGUGCUGGAACAGGCUGCCCAGAGAGGUUGUGGAUUCCCUGUCCCUGGAGGUGUUCAAGGCCAGACUGGAUGGGCCCUGGGCAGCCUGGUCUAGUAUUACAUGUGGAGGUUGGUGGCCCUGCAUGUGGCAGGGGGGUUGGAGAUUCAUGAUCCUUGAGAUCCCUUUCAACCCUGGCCAUUCUGUGAUUCUGAAUCUUGCUUUAAGUGAACUGAUACUAUCUGUAGACUGAAACUUUGGUAAUCUAUGUAGUUUGUAAAUUGAUGGUUUAGAUUAAUAAGUGUACUCAGCUACUAAGAGACUACAAGAAAAGAGCAAUUUGCAUUUUUAUGCUAAUUUUUUUCUUUCUUGAAAUGUUGAUGUAUUAGGAAGGUUGUUAAGGUGAUAGUUAAGAUGCAGAUAAAUUAAACCACAGUCAGUCAUGUAUGUGUCUUCUCAUUGUAAGAUUCUCUAAUUUUUAUUUCUCUUGGAAAAAUGCCUACCGUAUAGUAGGCCUUGUGAUGGUCUUAGAGACUCACAGUUACUUGUGUUUCUCUAAACUUGAUUUUGGGGUUUGAAAUUGUUGAGACAAAUGAGAAUCAAAACCACUUUGAAAUCACAUUUGUGAUUACUGAAUAAAAGAAAUCUGCUACACAGCUGUGUAUUUGAAUAUAGAAAAUACACAUUGAUUUGUAGUAAGAAAUAAGAUACAUCAAGACCAUUGUUACCGUACGUUAUGACAGUUUAACAUAAAUUAUGAAUGA